GAUGAACGCUGGCGGCGUGCCUAAUACAUGCAAGUCGAGCGAACAGACGAGGAGCUUGCUCCUCUGACGUUAGCGGCGGACGGGUGAGUAACACGUGGAUAACCUACCUAUAAGACUGGGAUAACUUCGGGAAACCGGAGCUAAUACCGGAUAAUAUAUUGAACCGCAUGGUUCAAUAGUGAAAGACGGUGUUGCGGUCACUUAUAGAUGGAUCCGCGCCGCAUUAGCUAGUUGGUAAGGUAACGGCUUACCAAGGCAACGAUGCGUAGACGACGCGAGAGGGUGAUAGGCCACCCUGGAACUGAGACACGGUCCAGACUCCUACGGGAGGCAGCAGUAGGGAAUCUUCCGCAAUAGGCGAAAGCUUGACGGAGCAACGCCGCGUGAGUGAUGAAGGUCUUCGGAUCGUAAAACUCUGUUAUUAGGGAAGAACAAAUGUGUACGUAACUAUGCACGUCUUGACGGUACCUAAUCAGAAAGCCACGGCUAACUACGUG
rnacentral:rRNA from 1 species